rnacentral:rRNA from 1 species
CCUACGGGAGGCUGCAGUGGGGGAUAUUGCACAAUGGGGGGAACCCUGAUGCAGCGACGCCGCGUGGGUGAAGAAGCGCCUCGGCGCGUAAAGCCCUGUCAGCAGGGAAGAAAAUGACGGUACCUGAAGAAGAAGCCCCGGCUAACUACGUGCCAGCAGCCGCGGUAAUACGUAGGGGACAAGCGUUCACCGGAUUUACUGGGUGGAAAGGGGGCGCAGACGGCGGUGCAAGCCAGGAGUGAAAGCCCGUGGCCCAACCCCGGGACUGCUCUGGGAACUGCGUGGCUGGAGUGCAGGAGGGGCAGGCGGAAUUCCUGGUGUAGCGGUGAAAUGCGUAGAGAUCAGGAGGAACACCGGUGGCGAAGGCGGCCUGCUGGACUGCAACUGACGUUGAGGCCCGAAAGCGUGGGGAGCAAACAGGAUUAGAUACCCCAGUAGUC